CACGGUUUCCACACCCCGAGGGAGGACAGGAGAUGGACAGGAGGGGGACACCGGCUUUCGACGUCAAAAGCUACGGGUUAUACGGAGUGUCAACACCGUGAAUACAGCCGACAGAAUUACACAGCAUCUUCUUUCCUUUGCCUCUGCAUCAAAACAGCUGUCACGGUUCAGACCUUUCCAUCGGGACCCGUGUUUAACAUCGCAACUCUUCCCCCACCGCUGAGCCGCUCUCCAGUGCUGAAACCCCGGGCGCAGCUGUCGCUCCGUCCCCUUAGGAAACUGUCCUAAUGAAGGAGGCCGACGCCAUCAAGCUCUUUAUUGGCCAGAUCCCACGGAAUCUGGAGGAGAAGGACCUGAAGCCCAUCUUUGAGCAGUUCGGGAAGAUCUACGAGCUUACGGUGAUCAAGGACAAGUACACGGGAAUGCACAAAGGAUGUGCCUUCUUGACAUACUGUGCGAGGGAGUCAGCCUUGAAGGCCCAGAAUGCACUGCACGAGCAGAAGACAUUGCCAGGGAUGAACCGCCCCAUUCAAGUCAAGCCAGCGGACAGUGAAGGCCGAGGAGACAGGAAGCUGUUUGUGGGGAUGUUGGGGAAACAGCUGUCAGAUGCUGAUGUCAGAAAAAUGUUCGAGCCGUUCGGGAGUAUAGAGGAGUGUACAGUACUCAGAGGACCUGACGGAGCCAGCAAAGGUUGUGCGUUUGUAAAAUAUCAGAGUAACGCAGAAGCGCAGGCGGCCAUCAGCGCUCUCCACGGCAGCCGAACUCUCCCGGGUGCUUCUUCUAGUCUGGUGGUGAAGUUUGCAGACACGGAGAAGGAGCGAGGGAUCAGGCGUAUGCAGCAGGUGGCCUCUCAGCUGGGCGUCAUCAGUCCCAUGAGCCUCCACCUGGGCGCCUACAACGCCUACACACAGGCACUUGUCCAGCAGCAGGCGUUGGUGGCUCAGUCUGCAUAUCUGUCUCCGGUUGCGACGGUUGCGGCAGUACAGAUGCAGCAGUUGGCAGCUCUCAACCCCAGCAGCAUCAUCGCUACACCCAUUGCCUCAAUCACGCCCUCCUCAGUGUGUAAUUGUGCUGUAGGUACGAGCACUCCUCCAACCAUCGCCGCCACACCCGUGCCUGCUCUGCCUCCACCCAUCGCAGUCAACAGUUACCCACCGGUCCCUGCAGCGCCCAACGGCCAGUCUGCCUCCGAAGCACUCUACACUAACGGGGUCCACCCAUAUCAGGCUCAGAGUCCUGCGUUGGAUCCUCUCCAGCAGGCGUAUACAGGCAUGCAGCACUACACGGCUACAUACCCCGCUGCUUAUGGAUUGGUCGGUCAACCGUUCCCACAUCAGCCCACCUUGGUUGCCCAGCAACCCCAACAGCCGCAGCAGCUGCAACAACGAGAAGGACCAGAGGGCUGCAAUAUCUUUAUUUAUCAUCUGCCGCAGGAGUUCACUGACUCGGAGAUGCUGCAGAUGUUUCUGCCCUUCGGUAACGUCAUCUCAGCCAAGGUGUUCGUUGACCGCGCCACCAAUCAGAGCAAAUGCUUUGGUUUUGUAAGCUUCGACAACCCGGCGAGCGCACAGGCCGCCAUCCAGGCCAUGAACGGCUUUCAGAUCGGCAUGAAGAGGCUCAAAGUGCAGCUGAAGAGGCCUAAAGACGCCAACCGUCCAUACUGAGACCAACAGCUCAUCCACACCAAGGCUGCCCCGUCCAAUCAUAACUCGUGCGGAGACCACGUCGCUAUGGCUACGGUGGCCUAGCAACCAAUAAGCUCCCCCUUCCUCCCACAGCGUUGGUUUGGAAGACAGGAGAGGACUAACGGAGUCAGUUACGAGUCACUUUUCCUCCGCUGCAAAUAACGGGACCAACAACUUUUCGCAAAACUACAGUAUAAAAAAAACCUACCGAGAUUAUUUAAAGGAAAAAUAUACAUGUAAUAACAAAGACAGACUUAUUGCACAAGGUGCAGGUUAAAUAGAAGGAUUUACUACCUUAACAGUAUACGAUAUAGGACCAAUCUGCACCGCAGCGCCACUCGCUCUUCUGCUUCACACACUGUCGUGCCGUGUGCUUGUGGGUCGUCAUCUUUCUGCCCUCGGCCUGCACAUCUACGCACUACACACACACACAUAAAUGGGACCAACGCAAAUGUGUCAGUACUACACGAAUUUUGCUUCUGGGUUCAAAAGAACUACUGACUAUCAAAGUCUUUCUGCAGCAAUCUAAAAAUGUGUAUAUAGAAAUUUGAGGGGAUCAUGUUGUAGACAUAUCGAAACGGUUCGGGAGGGUGGGACUGGGUCAACGUGAUCAGAGCAAAGAAAUCAUGGUAGAUAGAGAAAAGAAUAUCCUUUGGGGAGUUUUGAAGGAGUUUGCUCUCGGUCUCUAAUCUGAGUCCAGUUAUACAUAGUUCUUCAUCUUUAAUACUUACGGAAACAAAAAGACCUGUGUGGGGUAUAGGAUGCCGGUCCUAUGUUGCAAUCCUCCCUAAAAUGACUGAAUAUAGUUUAUCACAGAGAAGCUGUAGUUAGAGGUUUUUUUUUUGUUUGUUUUGUUUUUUAGCUUUGUUAGUUUUUCGUUCAUUUUUUUAACAAAACAAAAAAAAAAUUGUGGAUGAUUCGAGAAGAUUCAUGAAAGGUAAAAACAUUAAAAAUGUAUUUCAUUGUAAAUAUCAUGCUUUUAAAAUGAAGGUCAAGAUUUAAACAUUUGGGAUAUUAUUAUUAUUAUUGCUAUUAUUAUUAUUAUUAUUUAGGGAAAGUAAUUUCUAUCUUUUUUUGCAAUUAAUUUAUUAAUUUCUUGAUGGAGGGCAUUUUUUAAAUUAUUUAUGAAGAUAGCGGAUCAUUGGCACGUCUGAUGAAUCCAUGUAUUUUUAGACAUUUUAUUUACAGAUUUACCAUUAAUGAACAAUCAUUAUUAUUAUUAUUCUAUUUAUUUUCUUCAACUGUUGUUUCACAACCUGUCAAUUACAAAAAAAAUUUGAAUAAAAUUUUAAACAAUA